GUUGCUAGCAUGAAGAGCAGGAGUCAGGUGAAUGUUCCCAGAACAGAAGUUCCCAGAACAGAAGGUGAAGGACAGGAGAGUGGGGUGUGUACAUUUGUACAUGCAGUUGCCAGCACAGAGACUGAGGCACAGAAGAACAAGUUGUUUGAGUUGGCAUACUGAGUUCUUCUGAAGCUGAAGGAGAAGAUGGUGAACCACGGUCAGAUAGUCCGAGAUCAGGGGAACAUAGAAAAAGAGCAGAGAGAUGGCUUAAACAAGCAAUCGCUUCCUGAGCUGCUUUUCUCCACAGUGCGGACUUCAAGCAGUUGUUAGAAGACCCCGGGAAUUUACCACCUUUGUUCAACAUCACAGAAUGUUUUUAAUAAAGCUUUCACUGAAA